rnacentral:rRNA from 1 species
CAGCAGCCGCGGGAAUACGUAGGUGGCAAGCGUUGUCCGGAAUUAUUGGGCGUAAAGGGCUCGCAGGCGGUUUCUUAAGUCUGAUGUGAAAGCCCCCGGCUCAACCGGGGAGGGUCAUUGGAAACUGGGAAACUUGAGUGCAGAAGAGGAGAGUGGAAUUCCACGUGUAGCGGUGAAAUGCGUAGAGAUGUGGAGGAACACCAGUGGCGAAGGCGGCUCACUGGCCCGGAACUGACGCUGAGGCGCGAAAGCGUGGGGAGCAAAUAGGAUUAGAUACCCCCGUAGUCCCUGUCUCUUAACC